GUCACAAUACUAUUUUUCUGCCCCACACUACUUUUGCUCGCCUCUCUCUCCUCAUUCGUACCUUCACCUGGUUUUUUCCGCCCUCGAUGAUCUCUCUCCUCGAAUCCUUCAUCCAUGGAAAAUUGAUUUCAUGCAUGGAUUCAAGCAAUGUCUCUUCAUUCUAAUAGAAUGAUUAAUGUUCUGGUUAGUACACUGCCUCUUUGUUUUCUUGUCAAACUUAUGUGGAUGCAAAACUCGGUUGCGACUAGAAUUUCUGAUUAGAAAGAUAUUGCAAAACUUAAAGCUGCUAAACUACAGAGAGACGACUACACCAUUUUUCUUCAUUAUCACUCGUUGGAUAUGUCUCUCUCCUCAGGAUGGUAUCAUUCAAUUAGAAGCUAAAUUGAGGGAAUUAUGUGCACUCUUCGUCAAACAUGCAAUUGACAGCUUCUCUGGACGACUUAAAUUCAUUAUCAAAUCUAUCCACUUAUAUAUCACAUCAUUGAAGGUAAUUGAGUAAGGAACAAAGCAGCUAUAGUGCAAACAGGGGAGUACAUAAGAUGUUAGAGAAGAUCAAGUCCUCAAUUGGUGUCUGAAACCCGCUAUUUCGAAAGCCAUUGUGGCGAAUUUCCUUAGUUUCUUGCACUGAGCGUGUUCGACACAAAUAAGCCGGUCAUGGGUACUUUUUGGGCAUUCCCUUAUCUCGUUAGUGUAGUCCUAGACACGGAGAAAGAUCUAGCUCGCAAGCGAGGCAAGACUCGCUUAGAGCACUUUACAAUCUCUCUAUAUCACAAGGAAGCAUUGCCUUGAUUGUAUCACGAGGUGUUAUAUUGUACUAGAGCUCUAUGUCUUUUACCUAUUUUUUAAAAAAUUAAAUUCCUCUUUACCUUGUCACAUGUAUAGGACAUUUCUCUUCAUAACAGUUGCAUAGAUGCACAGAGUAUUUGGACCAAA